rnacentral:rRNA from 1 species
CCCUUAGAUGUUCUGGGCCGCACGCGCGCUACACUGACAUGUUCAACAAGUCUUCCUAGUUCGACAGGACUUUGGGAAAUCUUUGAACGCAUGUCGUGAUAGGGAUAGAUCAUUGCAAUUAUUGAUCUUGAACGAGGAAUUCCUAGUAAACGCGAGUCAUCAGCUCGCAUUGAUUACGUCCCUGCCCUUUGUACACACCGCCCGUCGCACCUACCGAUUGAAUGUUUCGGUGAAGAUUCCGGAUAGGACUGAUUUGAUUUAUUUCAUUUCUGACCUAAAAGCUAUCUAAACCUCAACAUUUAGAGGAAGGUGAAGUCGUANCA